rnacentral:rRNA from 1 species
AUACGUAGGGGGCGAGCGUUGUCCGGAAUGAUUGGGCGUAAAGGGCGCGUAGGCGGCCCGGUAAGUCUGGAGUGAAAGUCCUGUUUUUAAGAUGGGAAUUGCUUUGGAUACUGUCGGGCUUGAGUGCCGGAGAGGUAAGUGGAAUUCCCAGUGUAGCGGUGAAAUGCGUAGAGAUUGGGAGGAACACCAGUGGCGAAGGCGACUUACUGGACUGUAACUGACGCUGAGGCGCGAAAGUGUGGGGAGCAAACAGGAUUAGAUACCCUGGUAGUCCACACUGUAAACGAUGAAUGCUAGGUGUAGGGGGUAUCGACCCCUUCUGUGCCGCAGUCAACACAAUAAGCAUUCCGCCUGGGGAGUACGGCCGCAAGGUUGAAACUCAAAGGAAUUGACGGG